AGGUUGCCUCAGUACGGCGAGUGAAGCGGCAAAAGCUCAAAUUUGAAAUCUAGCACCUUCGGUGUUCGAGUUGUAAUUUGAAGAUGGUAACCUUGGGUUUGGCUCUUGUCUAUGUUCCUUGGAACAGGACGUCAUAGAGGGUGAGAAUCCCGUCUGAUGAGAUGCCCAUUCCUAUGUAAGGUGCUAUCGAAGAGUCGAGUUGUUUGGGAAUGCAGCUCUAAGUGGGUGGUAAAUUCCAUCUAAAGCUAAAUAUUGGCGAGAGACCGAUAGCGAACAAGUACAGUGAUGGAAAGAUGAAAAGAACUUUGAAAAGAGAGUGAAAAAGUACGUGAAAUUGUUGAAAGGGAAGGGCAUUAGAUCAGACUUGGUGUUUUACGAUUAUCUUCUCUUCUUGAGUUGUGCACUCGUAUUUCACUGGGCCAGCAUCGAUUCGGAUGGCAAGAUAAUGGCAGUUGAAUGUGGCUUCACUUCGGUGGAGUGUUAUAGCUUCUGCUGAUAUUGCCUGUCUGGAUCGAGGGCUGCGUCUUUUGACUAGGAUGCUGGCGUAAUGAUCUAAUGCCGCCCGUCUUGAACAACGGACCA
rnacentral:rRNA from 1 species